CAAGUCGAACGGCAGCACGGGGGCAACCCUGGUGGCGAGUGGCGAACGGGUGAGUAAUACAUCGGAACGUGCCCAGUCGUGGGGGAUAACUACGCGAAAGCGUAGCUAAUACCGCAUACGAUCUACGGAUGAAGGCGGGGGAUCGCAAGACCUCGCGCGAUUGGAGCGGCCGAUGGCAGAUUAGGUAGUUGGUGGGGUAAAGGCUCACCAAGCCUUCGAUCUGUAGCUGGUCUGAGAGGACGACCAGCCACACUGGGACUGAGACACGGCCCAGACUCCUACGGGAGGCAGCAGUGGGGAAUUUUGGACGAUGGGCGAAAGCCUGAUCCAGCCAUUCCGCGUGCAGGAUGAAGGCCUUCGGGUUGUAAACUGCUUUUGUACGGAACGAAAAGCCCUCUUCUAAUACAGGGGGGUCAUGACGGUACCGUAAGAAUAAGCACCGGCUAACUACGUGCCAGCAGCCGCGGUAAUACGUAGGGUGCAAGCGUUAAUCGGAAUUACUGGGCGUAAAGCGUGCGCAGGCGGUUAUGUAAGACAGAUGUGAAAUCCCCGGGCUCAACCUGGGAACUGCAUUUGUGACUGCAUAGCUAGAGUACGGUAGAGGGGGAUGGAAUUCCGCGUGUAGCAGUGAAAUGCGUAGAUAUGCGGAGGAACACCGAUGGCGAAGGCAAUCCCCUGGACCUGUACUGACGCUCAUGCACGAAAGCGUGGGGAGCGAAGAGGAUUAGAUACCCUGGUAGUCCACGCCCUAAACGAUGUCAACUGGGUUGUUGGGU
rnacentral:rRNA from 1 species